AACGAACGCUGGCGGCAGGCCUAACACAUGCAAGUCGAGCGCGCCUUCGGGUGAGCGGCGGACGGGUGAGUAACGCGUGGGAAUAUGCCCUUCUCUACGGAAUAGUCCUGGGAAACUGGGGGUAAUACCGUAUACGCCCUUUGGGGGAAAGAUUUAUCGGGGAAGGAUUAGCCCGCGUUGGAUUAGGUAGUUGGUGGGGUAAUGGCCUACCAAGCCGACGAUCCAUAGCCGGUUUGAGAGGAUGAUCAGCCACACUGGGACUGAGACACGGCCCAGACUCCUACGGGAGGCAGCAGUGGGGAAUCUUAGACAAUGGGGGCAACCCUGAUCUAGCCAUGCCGCGUGAGUGAUGAAGGCCUUAGGGUUGUAAAGCUCUUUCAGCUGGGAAGAUAAUGACGGUACCAGCAGAAGAAGCCCCGGCUAACUCCGUG
rnacentral:rRNA from 1 species